AGGACUUGACAUGGGAGGGCCGUGUCCAGAGAUGGGCAUUUCCGCAAGGACCCUCUGCAC
rnacentral:rRNA from 1 species